AUAUGAUGAUCCCAAUUUAGAUGACGAGUCUGAAGAGUCGUUCGAUGUCGAAAAAACCUUUUUUAAUUCCAUUCAUGCAUUUCUGAGA
rnacentral:snoRNA from 1 species